GGCGCAAACUCGAAAUAGUGUAGUUUAGUAAGGUCAGAUGAUCCUCCUGAUCCACUUUAUUUCAAGCUUGGGCCC
rfam:Haemonchus contortus, ISE/inbred ISE, WGS project CAVP01000000 data, contig: Hcontortus_34471